rnacentral:tRNA from 1 species
GGCGGCGUAGCUCAGUUGGCUAGAGCAUUCGGUUCAUACCCGACAGAUCGGUGGUUCGAGCCCACUCGCCGCUACCA